AUUGAACGCUGGCGGCAUGCCUUACACAUGCAAGUCGAACGGCAGCACGGGAGCAAUCCUGGUGGCGAGUGGCGAACGGGUGAGUAAAGUAUCGGAACGUGCCCAGUCGUGGGGGAUAACGUAGCGAAAGAUACGCUAAUACCGCAUACGAUCUAUGGAUGAAAGCGGGGGAUCGCAAGACCUCGCGCGAUUGGAGCGGCCGAUAGCAGAUUAGGUAGUUGGUGGGGUAAAGGCUCACCAAGCCGACGAUCUGUAGCUGGUCUGAGAGGACGACCAGCCACGCUGGGACUGAGACACGGCCCAGACUCCUACGGGAGGCAGCAGUGGGGAAUUUUGGACAAUGGGCGAAAGCCUGAUCCAGCCAUGCCGCGUGCAGGAUGAAGGCCUUCGGGUUGUAAACUGCUUUUGUACGGAACGAAAAGGUUUGGCCUAAUAAGCUGAGCUCAUGACGGUACCGUAAGAAUAAGCACCGGCUAACUACGUGCCAGCCGCCGCCGUAA
rnacentral:rRNA from 1 species